rnacentral:rRNA from 1 species
ACUCCUACGGAAGGCAGCAGUGGGGAAUAUUGGACAAUGGGCGAAAGCCUGAUCCAGCAAUGCCGCGUGGGUGAAGACGGCCUGCGGGUUGUAAAGCCCUUUAGGUGGGGAGGAAAGGCGGGACGUGAACAGCGUUUCGCACUGACGUUACCCACGGAAUAAGCACCGGCUAACUCCGUGCCAGCAGCCGCGGUAAUG